UCUGGUGACAAUGGCAAGGAGGUCACACCUGUUCCCAUACCGAACACAGAAGUUAAGCUCCUUAGCGCCGAUGGUAGUCGGACUGACGUUCCGCUAGAGUAGGACGUUGCCAGGC
rnacentral:rRNA from 1 species